CGCCUUAGCUAUACAUCCAUGUGUGUGCGUGCAUAUGUGUGUGUCUCUGUGUGUAUGUGUGUGUGUGCAGUGCUAAGUAUAAAUGGAAGAGUGAACGGAGGAGUACCAUAGUCUCUUUCGCAACAGCCAUGGAUGGAGUCAGCUUAACACCUUUCAGGGCAGCGGUCCUCCUUCUGCUUGUCCUUGCCGGGCAACUGGAGGCCUUCCCGGACCACGGCGUGGAGCAUGGGCACGGCAUGGAGCCAGGCAUGGGCGAAGCUAGUCAUGGGCACGCAGGUUAUGACUACAGUCCUCCCCCCAUGCCUGAGAAACCUAUGGGCUACAGCUAUGAGCCUCCUUCUGUACCCUUCCCUCCUCCCACCCUGUACGAGGCCCCUGCUGCCACGGGCGAGACUCAUGCUCCCAUAGCUGAGACACAUACUCCUGUGGUUGAUCCUCAUGCUGCCGUCGCUGAUCCUCAUGUUGCCGUCGCUGAUCCUCAUGCUGCCGUCCCUGAUCCUCAUGCUGCCGUCGCUGAUCCUCAUGCUGCCGUCGCUGAUCCUCAUGCUGCCGUCCCUGAUCCUCAUGCUGCCGUCGCUGAUCCUCAUGCUGCCGUCGCUGAUCCUCAUGUUGCCGUCGCUGAUCCUCAUGCUGCCGUCCCUGAUCCUCAUGCUGCCGUCGCUGAUCCUCAUGCUGCCAUGGGUGAGACUCAUGCUGCCAUGGGUGAGACUCAUGCUGCCAUGGGUGAGACUCAUGCUGCCAUGGGUGAGCCAGUGUUAGAGCCAGUUUUUGAUCUCCGCUCGAACCUUGGCCACGCGUAGAAAGGACAUGAAGAGUGUGUGGCAGCAUGACAUCGUCAGCCAACGUAACGACAUGCAUUGUUUUGAAGCAGACAUUCUGCUUGAAUGACCGUGACACCCUCCCACUUCUCUUUGAGGCCAGCGAUGUAUUCUGCACACACACACACACACACACACACACACACACACACACACUAUUAGAGAACAUUUUGUCCAUGUCCAAACAAACAAACAAAAAAAUACAUUCUAAGUACAGAUGCAAAUCUAUUUCAUGUUUCCUUGGCAGGCUUUAGGGGUGAGGAACAGCUGUUAUCUUACGUACAACCUCACUGUGACAGUGGAUUAGUUUUUUAUUUUAUUUCUUAAUCUAAAAUUAGUUCUCUGGUGGACAAUAUAUCUUUAAGACAUGAAAUGAUUUAGGAAAAGAGAGAAACAACAAGACGUUGACGUAUGAAGAGAAACAGGCCGUGAGAGGCGGUACUGCGAGAAAUACCUCCUCACAGAAAUAAGUCGUUCUGCUGUACACUACGCAUGCGCCCUGGGGACUGCACAGCAGGAAAACAUUAAUUUGCCUGGUUUUGUUCUAGUUUGUCCACUUGUGAUCUUUGUGAUGGUUGAUAUUGCCCGCAAGACAACAACACAGCAGACCAACCAACCAAACAAGCAACAACUGAGUGAACGUCAACGUGGGGGUAAUUCUUUCUAAAAUCUGCCCUUUCGUUUGUUAUAAAGUCUCUUGAUUAGGAAGUGUUACUCUGAUGUUUGUGUCAUAUACUGACGCCCAAACAGGACAAGUAAACGAUGGCGGUGAGUGAAAUAUAGGAAAAGUAAGCAAGUUGGGCCUCUCUCUACGAGCUAUUUUUCGGCUGCGAGCUAAUUCCUACAAUAGCAGUCCUAGGCGCGAGCCACCCCAAACACACGUUGACAACUUGACACAGGCCACGGACGGCAGGCGCGUGAGGAGGCCUCGGCCACGGCUCCCACGGCUCCCGGCACCACAUACACCAGGCCCGACUCCCGACGGAGACCUGGGCGAGCCGUUUGGAUUAACCGUCUUGGAGGAUCAUGUGGUGCGACAAGGGAGGCAAGGGUUGAGGUGAGGGU